GGGUUGUGAGGUUAAGCGACUAAGCGUACACGGUGGAUGCCCUGGCAGUCAGAGGCGAUGAAGGACGUGCUAAUCUGCGAAAAGCGUCGGUAAGGUGAUAUGAACCGUUAUAACCGGCGAUGUCCGAAUGGGGAAACCCAGUGCAAUUCGUUGCACUAUCGUUAACUGAAUACAUAGGUUAACGAGGCGAACCGGGGGAACUGAAACAUCUAAGUACCCCGAGGAAAAGAAAUCAACCGAGAUUCCCCCAGUAGCGGCGAGCGAACGGGGAGCAGCCCAGAGUCUGAAUCAGCUUGUGUGUUAGUGGAACGGUCUGGAAAGUCCGACGGUACAGGGUGAUAGUCCCGUACACCAAAAUGCACAGGCUGUGAACUCGAAGAGUAGGGCGGGACACGUGGUAUCCUGUCUGAAUAUGGGGGGACCAUCCUCCAAGGCUAAAUACUCCUGACUGACCGAUAGUGAACCAGU
rnacentral:rRNA from 1 species